AGUCUAAGGAGAAAGCGGGCUAACCUGGCAGUUUUCAUUAAACCCAUACGCCUUUGGUUUCUUCACGGCAUCGUACGGGAACACUAAAUCGCUUGGCGGCACGACUUUGCCGGUAGAGUGGUAACUAGCCACGGCCGAAGCCUCCUACCAGAUCAGACUAGAAAGAGAAAUUUAGAAAUUAUAAAAUU